CGCGUAGGAACCUACCUAGUAGUUUGGGAUAGCCCAGAGAAAUUUGGAUUAAUACCGAAUACGCCUACGGGGGAAAGUGGAGGAUCUUCGGACUUCACGCUAUUAGAUGGGCCUGCGUAAGAUUAGCUUGUUGGUGAGGUAAUGGCUCACCAAGGCGACGAUCUUUAGCUGGUUUGAGAGGAUGAUCAGCCACACUGGGACUGAGACACGGCCCAGACUCCUACGGGAGGCAGCAGUGGGGAAUAUUGCACAAUGGGCUAACGCCUGAUGCAGCCAUACCGCGUGUGUGAAGAAGGCUCU
rnacentral:rRNA from 1 species